rnacentral:rRNA from 1 species
GCAAGUCGAGGGGCAGCACGGUGAGCAAUACACUGGUGGCGACCGGCGUACGGGUGCGUAACACGUAUGCAACCUACCCGCUAUUGGGGGAUAACCCGGCGAAAGUCGGACUAAUACCCCAUAUUAUUCUUACCGGGCAUCCGGUAGGUCUGAAAGAUUUAUCGAUUGCGGAUGGGCAUGCGGAUGAUUAGCUAGUAGGUGGGGUAACGGCUCACCUAGGCGACGAUCAUUAGGGGUUCUGAGAGGAAGGUCCCCCACACUGGAACUGAGACACGGUCCAGACUCCUACGGGAGGCAGCAGUGAGGAAUAUUGGUCAAUGGGCGCUAGCCUGAACCAGCCAAGUCGCGUGAAGGGUGAACAGAUCUAUGGUUUGUAAACUUCUUUUGCAGGGGAGUAAAGUGCGACACGUGUGUUGUAUUGCAAGUACCCUGCGAAUAAGCAUCGGCUAACUCCGUGCCAGCCGCCGC